UUUUUUCCUUUUCUUUUGCCGACUCUCUUUCUCUCUCUCACUUUCUUCCUUCACGAAUCGACGAACCGAUGAAUCUCUCUAUCAUUCCUCAGUUAUCAUAGAUUCAAUCCAUUUAAUUUUGUUUUUCCGGCAUAAAGAUGGAACUUUGUUUGCUCUAAGAAGAAAUUCCGAUCAAACGAUUCGUAAAUCCACCAAGCUAGGGUUUCAUCAUUGUCUUCCCUCCGCACCCAUAAGCUCGAAGCUGAGCUUUUCUUCAGGGAAUAGGAACACCAAUCAUCAUCUGCAUCCUCAGUGAGAUAAAGAUGAGUACUACAUCUCACAGGACUUUAUGCACAACAGAGUGGGAGUCCGAUUUGGUGGUCGCAGUCAAAGGCAGGUAGUAGUAUUAUGGAGCAGGAUGACAAAGGGAAAAGAUCUCCUGUAGAAGUUGUGGUUCAGCCUGGUGCAUUGGUUACUCUUCCGCCGCCAAGGGAAGUUGCUAGGCCAGAGGUUCAGAGGCAGAUCAUACCUACUGGAAACCUUGAUGAGGAAGAGUGGGUCACUGUCUUUGCUUUUCUGCUUUUGUUUGUAUUAAAAAGAAAAUUGAGUCAAAUUGGUGUACAUGAUUGCAUCUGAUAAGAUAUGAUGCUACUAAAGCUGAUGGUUGCAAAUCACAAACCAAAAAAGCAUAAUUUUCAAGUUUAAACUA